ensembl:snoRNA
AAGCCAGCUACUAAAUCUGCUUAUCUGUAUGUGUUUUUGCAGAAAUUCAGAAAAAGCAGCAACAGUGAUGCUAUGAGCCUUAGAGACAUCAAAGUUAUUAAGGUCCCUGAAAAUGGCUACAUAC